GACGAACGCUGGCGGCGUGCUUAACACAUGCAAGUCGAACGGCAAGGCCCUGCUUUUGUGGUGUGCUCGAGUGGCGAACGGGUGAGUAACACGUGAGUAACCUGCCCUUGACUUUGGGAUAACUUCAGGAAACUGGGGCUAAUCCCGGAUAGGAGCUCCUGCUGCAUGGUGGGGGUUGGAUAUUUUCGGCGGUUGGGGAUGGACUCGCGGUUUAUCAGCUUGUUGGUGGGGUAGUGGCUUACCAAGGCUUUGACGGGUAGCCGGCCUGAGAGGGUGACCGGCCACAUUGGGACUGAGAUACGGCCCAGACUCCUACGGGAGGCAGCAGUGGGGAAUAUUGCACAAUGGGCGGAAGCCUGAUGCAGCAACGCCGAGUGCGGGAUGACGGCCUUCGGGUUGUAAACCGCUUUCGCCUGUGACGAAGCGUGAGUGACGGUAAUGGGUAAAGAAGCACCGGCUAACUACGUG
rnacentral:rRNA from 1 species